rnacentral:rRNA from 1 species
GACGAACGCUGGCGGCGUGCUUAACACAUGCAAGUCGAACGAAGUGGCGGACGGGUGAGUAACGCGUAAUCAACCUGCCCUUCAGAGGGGGACAACAGUUGGAAACGACUGCUAAUACCGCAUACUGAAGGAGGGGAUUGCGUCUGAUUGGCUAGUUGGAGGGGUAACGGCCCACCAAGGCGAUGAUCAGUAGCCGGGCUGGGAGGAUGGACGGCCAAAUUGGGACUGGGAAACGGCCCAGACUCCUACGGGAGGCAGCAGUGGGGAAUCUUCCGAAAUGGAGGAAAGUCUGACGGAGCAACGCCGCGUGAGUGAUGAUGGCCUUCGGGUUGUAAAGCUCUGUUAAUCGGGACGCGGUACCGGAAUAGAAAGCCACGGCUAACUACGUGCCAGCAGCCGCGGUAAUUC